rnacentral:lncRNA from 1 species
UGGUUCACAUGCUCAUAAAAUCAAUUCACCAUUCAUGAGUUAAGAGUGGUCAUCAAACAAUCUAGUUACUUCAAAGCUAGUUUUCAGUCCAUUACACAUUAUCAUUCAAAACAGUCUACCACAAAAGGUCUAAAACAAUGAGUUGAAUUAACUAGCUGUGAGGCAAUUAACUAAUGAAACAAUAAGGGCUCAGUGAAGAUCAAGCAACCAUUGCACUUCCAUUCCCUGGGAGAUAUUACAGCAAAACAAGUUCAAAUGUGUACCUGGGAUUGGAAAUGAAUAGGAAGAAGGAGAAAUUAGCAACGGCAGCUCAACAAUAGUGAUCGAAGUUUCAAACAGCAGUCAAACAUGAUCGAGUUCAACCUAGAAAUAACUCAGGAAUCAAGAACUAGUUUUAAAACCAAAGAGAUUAGUGUUGCAAACCAAUCACAUCAACAGAAUGCACACAAUGAACCCGAUAUCAACUUAAACUUUCAACAACCCAAAAAAUCCACCAAAACCAGUUUGAUUAAGCCUACAACCACUUGAAAUCACCUAGAAACUUCUGGAAUUCCAGCAAACAAAUGUGGAACUGGAAAAUGUAACCCAAUAGCUAAAAAAUUUAAAACUAUUCAAUAGAACAGUACAUUUUUUUUGAGUUUUCUGUUUUUUUUUUAUUUUUGGUUUUUUAGUAUUGAGUUUCAAGUUUCGGAUCUAGAAUUGAGAGAAUUUUUUGGGGGGAAAUUUUAGGGGCUCCAAACUUGUGUGUUAAGGCACUAUUCAUUGCCUUUUAUAGGUAAAAUGAGGGCAACCCUCAGAUUUUAUGUUUACACUAUCAGUCCUUGCUUAUUUUCAGCUUUGGUCCUUUAUUUUCUAACUUGUUCCUCAAGCCGGUCCUUUAACUUGUAAAAAUAUGCACUAAAGUCCUAUUCUAGAAGAAUAUAAGCUAUUCUAGUGUGAUAUAAAACAUUCUUUCUAUCUAGGAGUUACCUAAAUACCCCUGAAUAUUCCCUAAAAUUUAUUAACUAAGUCACAAUUAACCCACCCUUUUUCCCUGAUUAAAGCUACUAGUUACAAACCAAUUCACCUAAAUUUAAACUAAUUGGACAAUUAACUAAGUAAAGAAACAAAUUGCAUUACACAUUCAGGAUUAACUAACUAAUACAAGCUUAAACCUAUUAAAAUCAUAUAUGAAGUACUGCCGUGAAGAACCAAUCAGCCUUACUUAAUUAAACUUAAAAUAUGGAAUUAUUAAUAUAAUUGCUAAUCAAACUGAUUUAAACAAACUCAUUAACACUAAAUCAUAAGGAAUCAGAUUCAAACAAGGCACAAACCAUCAUAACAGAUUGACAAUGAAUUACACAAUUAUCAGAUUAAAACCAAAAAUUAAAAUGAAUUAAAAUCUAAACGGGAUGAACAAACAAAUGAAAUCGAGCAUAAAAUCAUAACAACAAUCAAAACAUGACUGAUACAACCAAAAAAAGAAUUAACACAACUAAAAAAAUCAAUCUAACACAUAAAACUGAAUAAUAUUGACUAACAAUUAACAAACUAGAAAUCACGAGAACGAAGAGAAGAAACAAUAGAAUUGAAAGAGAAAACUUACUAAUUUCAGAAUCCUUAUGGCCAACUAUCUAAAUUAAUUUUUGAUUAAUGCUAUUUGUCAAUUUCGUCAGAAAAUAGGCAUAUAACAUCAAAUAAAAAAUCAACUGACUCUGAAACGCCUCACAAUAGACCCGACUUCAUAAAUCUUAGAUUUGAAAUUCAACGAGUUCCGAUAGGGUUUCAGGGGUUUUGGUUAGGGAUUAGGGAUAAGGGAGGUAAGAUGAGUGUAGGGUAUGAAUUUGGGGCCAUUUGGACAAGGUAAGCUUUUGUCCAAAAAGUUUAGAUUCAAUAUUCGAGCCAUUUGGCCAGGAUUUGAGAGAAACGGGUGGUUGAUUCGUAAAAGGAAGGAGAAGGAUAACCAUGGGUGUAAUUUUGGUGGCGCUUGGAGGUUCUCCGCCGUCGUGGGCGAUUUCCAGCGGCGGAGGUAGGGCGAAGGAGUGCCGGAGGUGUGGUGGGGCGAUGGUGGCGUUAUAGGGAAGGGUUGGUAUGAGGAAGGGGAAUUAUGUUUUAGGGUUUAAGGAUAUUUUUAGACAGUUUUGUUAAUUGGCUAAAUUAGAUCUAGGUAGUU